rnacentral:rRNA from 1 species
UACAGAGGUCUCAAGCGUUGUUCGGAUUCAUUGGGCGUAAAGGGUGUGUAGGUGGUUUCGUUUGUCUGGGGUGAAAGCCUUGAGCUUAACUCAAGAAGUGCCUCGGAAACGGCGAAACUCGAGUACUGGAGAGGGUCGUGGAAUUCCCGGUGUAGCGGUGAAAUGCGUAGAGAUCGGGAGGAACACCAGAGGCGAAGGCGGCGACCUGGACAGUUACUGACACUGAUGAACGAAAGCCAGGGGAGCAAACGGG